rnacentral:rRNA from 1 species
GACGAACGCUGGCGGCGUGCUUAACACAUGCAAGUCGAACGGAAAGGCCCUGCUUUUGUGGGGUGCUCGAGUGGCGAACGGGUGAGUAACACGUGAGUAACCUGCCCUUGACUUUGGGAUAACUUCAGGAAACUGGGGCUAAUACCGGAUAGGAGCUCCUGCUGCAUGUUGGGGGUUGGAAAGUUUCGGCGGUUGGGGAUGGACUCGCGGCUUAUCAGCUUGUUGGUGGGGUAGUGGCUUACCAAGGCUUUGACGGGUAGCCGGCCUGAGAGGGUGACCGGCCACAUUGGGACUGAGAUACGGCCCAGACUCCUACGGGAGGCAGCAGUGGGGAAUAUUGCACAAUGGGCGGAAGCCUGAUGCAGCAACGCCGCGUGCGGGAUGAAGGCCUUCGGGUUGUAAACCGCUUUCGCCUGUGACGAAGCGUGAGUGACGGUAAUGGGUAAAGAAGCACCGGCUAACUACGUG